CCACUAGAUAAAACAUAUUUGUAUAUACUCAUCUGCCUCUUCAGGCGUAAGCCAGUAGGUUGACACCAUCCAGUCAGCUGCUAACUUACUCUCUGUCUCCCCUACAGGUGUCUGUCUGAUGUGCACCGUUCAGGUCUACCUGACAGUGUGGCAAACCAUGCCUCAAAAGCAGACCUCAUGUGGAAGGUCAAGUACUCCUUGUCGGGAUACGAUUUGAAGUAUCUGGGGGACACGCAACAGGACGCACACGAGUUACUCGUCAAUAUGCUGUGCCAGCUGAAGGAGGAGGGCAUGAUUCUGAAGACACUCGGGAUGAACUAUACCUGCCCUGUUUCCCAGCUGGAGUUCCAGCUUGUGUCGGUGCGCACAUGUACCAGCUGUGGGCGCGAGUCGUCUACCAGAGAGGACUACAACCACCUCUCAUUGGACAUCAGCCCUGAGCGCACCUUGCUGAACAGCCUAGCACUCACUUUCAAAGUCAGCACUUAGGGCUCAGCCCUGCAUGUAGAGACGAACACCCAGGGCAAGCUGCCCACUGCCUCAGAAUACGCUAUCUUAUUAUUGUAGUGGUAUCAUUCAUUAUGUAAUGCUUUUGUUUCUAACCAGAGUGAACAGGUUGAAUUCACAUGUGAGGGCUGUAAAGGCCUCCACGCCUCAAAGGUGGAGCAGUUCCACACACUGCCUCUGUGAGUUGUCCCUUUAUAACCUCUCAUAGUACUAGCAGUGUUUAAUGUCCUGAGCCUUUAGGAGUAGUUACCUUCCUGAGCAGGUUGUAGGACUUAGAGGUGAGCACCGCCAAACAAAUGUCACUCAUCUGUUAUUUUGUUGACUGGUUUCAUUGUCUGUCUGUUCAUCUCUCUUCCUCUCUCUUUCUGGGCAGUGUGCUGGUUCUGCAUCUGAAGAGGUUUGGAGGACCUGGGGGGUUGGAGAAGCUGGAGGCUCCUCUUUUGUUUCCUUCGGAGCUGAGGCUCUCCUGCCUCUGUGGGGACAUGGUGCCACACCUGCACAGUGCCAGCCCACAGGCCCUCACCAACCAGGCCCCCAGCAUCCAGGGGUCCAUCCCCCAGACCCUCGCCAGCCAAGUCUCCAGCCCACCUGGAGCGGCAAAAGACAGCGCCCUCUGCUGUUCAGAAGCAGAAGCCAGUACAGUCAGUGAAUGGUUACUACCAGCUGACUGGCGUAGUCUCUCAUUUGGGAGGCUCCGCAAACUCCGGUAAGUAAAUACCAUCAAACACACACAUGCAGAUGCACAAUACAUAUGACAUCAGCUGAUUUCCAAAUCACUCCCUUCUCCUUGGAUCUCAAUUUGCAUGUUCACGUGUGCCUCUGCCGUAUACACAAGCAUCCCAAAGCUGAGGGAGUGAAAAUUAUCGAGGGUGAGGGCCAGGGAUCAUCAACUAGAUUCAGCCUCGGGUCCAUUUUUUUUCUUAGC
rnacentral:lncRNA from 13 species